rnacentral:misc_RNA from 1 species
GUUAUCACCAGCAGGCCGCCACCUGAGUCUGCAUGAAAUUUGCAGAUAUUGUAAAUUUUACAUUUCUUUAGCUAAGGAAGAUGCAGGACAAGUAAAUAAGUGAUUAUUUAAUCGUUUUGAAUGUGAGAUCGUACACAUACACGAUGUCAGACCUUGAAAGUGAUACGUAGCACGUGCAACGAGGGAAGCCAAGCUCAAAAAUCAUCAAUGAGUUCAUAAAAUGGUAUAGCAAAACGUUCCAAGAUGACGGAUAACAACGAGAUAAUCAGCAGUCUAAAGCUGGAGCCAGAACUUGGAGGAAGCGAUGGAGGGGGAUGCCUCAGCUGUUCCAGCCUGCGGAAGAGACUACAGACAUGCCGCGAGUGGGUGAAGUUUUACCACGUGAAGCUCGAACAGCAGGACAAACUCCUUCACAUUGUGGCAGAUUUUGAGAGAGAAAAGCAGCAAAAUAUGGAGCUGCAGAUGGCCUUUGACCAAAGAACCCGUGAAGCAUCCUUUGCUCGGGAACAGAUGGCAAACUUAUUAAUGGAAAUCCAGCCACUAAGGGAAAAGAUUAGCACUUUGGAGAAAGAACUAGACGAUGAGAAGAAAUUGAAAGAGUCUGCAGAAAACCAAGUGAUUGGCUUGAAACACAUGAAGGAUCAGCAGAGGCACCAGAUUGAUGCCAUGAGAGCUAAAGUCGACAUGAAUCUCAUUGAAGUACUGGAAAAGAAACUGCACACAGCUCGCAGUGAUAUUAAACUCUUGAGGUGCUCCCUGGAUGACAAGUCUCGUGAGGUGAGUGAGCUGAAGGAGUUUCUGCAGGACCGCCGCGACCACUUCCUCCGCAACCAGAAGAAGACGGCCUGGAGUCUCCGCCUGGCCCAGCAGUACGGCUCCCGCCUCGCUGAUCUCGGUGUGCACCCUGACGAGCUAACGGAGGAGCCAUCAUGGACAAGAUUAAUGUCCCUCCUGGAGCUGAUACAAAGCCAGCUUCAUUCCCAUUACCAGGUUUACAGGAGAAAGGAAAUUAAAACUUUGAAGGAAAACCUAGUGGCUAUUGCAUUACUUCCAAGCCAGGAGGAAUGGCUGAAAGAUUUUGAUGAUGACCAGGCCAGUGAUUAUGACAGUUUUGAGCCAAAAAAGAUUAAGAAGGAGCAGAAACUGGUAGAUGAAGCAAAAAAGCUUGAGGAAUUGUUACAAAUGGAAGAAAAGUCCAAGGAGGAAGCAGGCCAACAGAGAUGGAAUGCAGAACAGAAUCAGGCAGAUGGGGACUGCAGCUCAGGGUCAGAUGAGUCCUGUGUAGAGAUAACACCACUAGUGAAAGAGGAAUCAGAUACAAAUGCCUGUGAGAUCAAAAGGCAGAAGAAGCCAGUGGAAGAUAAAGCCAAAGAUCAUAACACAAGGAAUGAUAAGUCUGAAAACCAUAAAAGAAAAGGCAGAAACAAGAAUGAUGAUAAGAAAAAGUCAUAUUGUAAGGGAGAAGAAGAGAGUCACAGAAAAGAGCGUUUAAGAACAGUGAGCAGUGAUGCAGGGAAGAUAAAGAAAUCAGACUGCCAAGUGAAUGAAGCUAAGCCAAAUGAAUAUUUUCAACCCUCAGUCUGUGUUGACAGAUCUGUUAAUGUACAAAGCCCUUCUGAAGACAUACAAAUCCUUAAGGACAAAAAAGUAAAUGAGCAUACUGAUAGAUUAGCUGAACCUGCAAAGACAGAAGUCAGAAAAGACAGUCAGAAUGAUUUGAUGGACUUCAAUGAUUUUCCUCUCCAUGUUCAACGAAUGAGUGAGGGGGAUGACCCUGUCAUGGCCAUACUAAAGGAUAUGAAGCCACAUGCCAAAAUUGACUGUUUAGAUGAUAGCUUUUCCUUUGGAGAAUCAGAGAUGUUUCCAGUGGAGAUUCAAAAUGAAAAUCCAAUAGAUUUUCAGAAUCCCCAUGGUUUAACUAGAGUGCAUGAAGAUCUAGAAUUACUUAGUGAUUCCUAUGAUGAUACAUUUGAUAGACCAAGGAAACUUUUGACUCAAGAGUCUCAAGGAUUUCUGAUUGAUUCAUGUGAACAAAGCAAGAGCUCUCUUAUGAGCCAGGAAGUUUUUACUGAGAAUUCUCCAGAUGAUGAGGUUGAUGUCAAACCAGUGGAGAGUUUAAUGGGUCGUAAUUUCCUUUCGUCCCAGGGAUUCUCCUUUGACAUGGAUGAAGUUAGUGGAAAUUCAGAAGGUAAAGAUGAUAAAGAAAACAGAGAGACUGAGAAUUGCCUUGAAAUAGAAAAAGUAGGUUCUAAAACAGAAAAGCAUUCACAGACAGAUACAUGGGACUUGAACUUAUCUGAAGACGAUGAACAAUGCAUGUCAAAAUAUUCAGAGCAAAAUGGCCAAAUAGACUCUGGUAAUACUAAUACUGACACUAUAAGCAAGGUUGAAAAUGGAGAAGAAUUUGUUGCCAAGAAACGUAGCACUCUUGUUGAUGAUUGUAAGGAGUCGCACAAAGAAGGGGAAGAGCUGGUGGAAGAAGACAGAAAUUCAGAACUUGAUGAAGAUGGUAUGCAUACCCAUAACAGCAUAGCAACAAUAGACUGUGGACUGAGAAAAUCAUCAAUACAGGAAACAUUGAUUAGAAGACCUUGUUCAAGAGAUGCAAGCAGUAAUUCUAUAGAAGCAAACUCAUUAGAUAUUAAACUGCAAGAAGAUAUAUUAAUCCAAGAACCUAUGAAGCCUAGUGAAAAAAUAAUGGAACACAGUUUAAGUAAUGACCAGAGGUCUCAACAGAGCUUGCAAGAAAAAAGUAGUGUUUCUGCAGGAUGCUGUGUAUCAGAAGGAGAAAACAAUAGUAAUGGGUCAUUGUCUAAACAUCCUCAACAAAUAUUGGAUCAAAAUGUAAGCCAGGAAAGCACAAAAAUAUCCUUGCAUGAGGAUGGAUUAUGUUCAAAUUCCAUACAUUCUGAAGAUAUGAAAGAUAUGGAAGAGAGUAGAUGUGCAAAACUGAGGACAAGUUCAGAAAGCAAUUCUUCAGAUCAUAGCUGGUUGUUAUCUUCAGAAUCUGAUGAUGACAAGGAUUUAAUGCACAAGAAGCAUGUUCACCCAAAGAUUUUACCUAGGAAGAGCAGCACCAGCAUUAUUGCAGUAGAGGUGAACAAAACCACAAAAAUAAAUUCUAAAACUGAAGAAAGAAGAAACUGUGAAGAGACACAAAGUCAGAUUGAUAAUGGAGGAGACAAGGAGGAGGAAACUAGUCAAAAACUGACAGCUGGUGUGGCUCGUGACAUGGAGUUACAGGAGAAAAUAAAUGACCAUGACUCAGGUUCCAGCGGUAAGCAUAACAUCGGUUUUAUGGCAGGUCGGAAGGUGCAGCUGGUUAAUAAGGAUCAGCUGGUACAAAAUGAUGGCUCUGGAAGUAAUGAUUGUAGUGACUUAACAUGUGCAGAUAUGGUUGGAAACAGACAGUUAUUCUCUAAUAGCAUAUCAGCUGGUCAAAGUACAAGUUCUGUCAGCACACUCUUGGAAGACUGUUCAUCAGAAAAGGUCAGUAAUAUGACAGAAGGAAUCAAUAAUAUGACAGAUUUAAAAAGCUUAAAGACAGAUUUGAUACAAGAAAACUCUCAUAACAAUCCCCAAAAAGAUGAUGGUGUCAAAAGUGAAUUGAACUCUGCAGAUGAAAGGAGAAUAUUAAGAAACAGCAGUAGUAGUAAUUGCAGUGAUUCUGAGGGCCAAUUUGUAGAGUGCACUUCAGAGAUAACAAACCAGAAUGGCUGCAUACAAAAAUCAAGUGAAGAUGAAAGUGAGUUGUCGUCUGAACCCAGGGAAGAGAAAUCCAGUGCACACUGCCCAGUUACUAACAGGAUAGAAAGUGAUAUAGAAAUAGUGUGCUCUAAUAGCUCUAAAGUCUGUUUGAGUAAAAAUGUCAGGCAGUCAAGAGAGCCCACAAAUAAACAAAGGAGUACUGUUACAAGGAAGACAAGUUUGAGAAACACCAAAAAUGACAGUACAGUUACAGAUUCUUUCAACUUAGAAGACACAAAAUGCAAUACACAUCCCUCAGGGACCAAAAUGACUCAUCAGAAUGUCCAACUUAUUAAAGGUAACUUUCUUCAUUCAUCAACUAAUGACACUUACAAUACUGAAAUGACACUAGAGAAAGAUAAGCUCUGCACAAAAUUAGAGAGGGAGAAGGAGGCAACACCACACAUUAUCGCUCAAAGAAAUGAAUCAGAAAAAAUAAAGAUCUCUUCUGAGUUAGAAAACUUUACUGUAAAUAAAGAUAUCAAGAUUAAUGAUAACUCAGAGAAUGACAAUGGAAAUACCAAGACUAUAGCUACUAGUGAUGCAUCUAUAUGUAGUGCAGAUACUGAUACCACUACCAAUGUUGUCUCUCCUAUCAACUCACUAGUAGAGAAUGUUGCUGGCACAAGUGAUGCAAAUGCAGCAAUUAAUACCAAAAAUAUGACCCGGAUAUUAGAUAAUGAAACUAUGAAUAUAGAGAAACAAUUAGAAGUUGAGGAAACUAUGAAACAGAAACUUAAAGCUGUAGAUAAAGAAUUUAAUGAGGAAAGCACUUUAAAGACAAAAGAUGAGAUUGUUACCACUAAGAAACCUGUAGAUCACAUUAAAGAAGGAAGAAAUUUGGACACACCCAAGGAAAUGGUAGAUGCUGGGGAUACAAAUCAAAAGUCAUUACCACGUAACCCACAAAUGGCUGGUGUACGUUUCAGUUGGGGGAAAAACAUGCUGCAAUGUCAAAAAAUGCCUUCACAUAGUAAUAACGUUGAAUUCAUAUUGCAAAAGAAAAUUACUCGUGAGAUUCCAAAUGCUUGUGAUCAGCUAAAAGCUAAUGUAUUCUCUCUAGAAAUACGAAAUUCAAGGAGACGUCAGGUCAGACCUUCCAUGCGCGAAAUGCAGAGUACUUGUCUUGGUACAGGUGAUAGAAGAGACAUUGAUAUUAAAAAUAAAGUUCAGCAUAAUAGAAAAAACACCGAUAUGAAUGGUGAUAAACAAGGGAAGAAUUUGUUGGAAGAGAGGAACAAAUUGCCACAUAAAAGAACAACUGAGCGGGGAAGUAAAGAAGCAUUAAGUAGUCUUGGUAAUAGCGCUGUUAUGUCCACACAGGAAAAGAGUCAGAGAACAGAAGAGCCUAAAAAAUCUGUUUUAAAGAGAUUGAAAGCCUCACAAAGCCUUUUUUCAAGUGAGAGCAGUGGUGCAGAGGAAGCAUCAGCACCAUGUGUGAGAAAAAGACGAAUCAUGAAAAAGAAAAGAAACCAAAAAAAUAAAUUUGAUAGUGAUAGUGAGGAGGCAGAAAUCACUAAUGAAGUUAGUCAGAAGAGUAGUAGAAAAGUCAGCAGAUUUGGGAGAAAAUCAGAGAGAGACCAAGGCAGAAAAAGUACAAAGAGUGACAACACUGAAUCCAGUGUUAGUAGCAGAACCUCACCUUGUGUUGUAAAGAGGCUGAAGAGAGAUUCAUCCAGUUCAAGCUAUGGAAAUAUAAGAACAUCAGUAAGUGAAAGUGAUGUCACUUCUCCAAAGCAACUUUCAGUCAGUUGUAAAGAUAAUGGAAAAGAUACUUUAAGCCACCAGAGCUCAGCAGCAAAUAAAGAGGAGCUGCAGAUUGUAAAGAAUGAUAUCUCAUCUGAUUCAGAAGCAUUGAAGGAUGAUGAGGGACACUUCAAAGGAGAACACAGAAUUUCCACAGUUGUGUCCAGUGAAAGUGAUAAUACAGAAAUAGAAUGUAAAGAAGGAGAACAAAGAAAGAAGAAGAGAGCCAUAGAAGUAGAAAAAUCUUACAAAAAUGAGCCACAUAUAAAUACUUUGGGACAGGUAAAGAAAAGCUUGGUUAAUGAGAACUUCAAAAAGGUGACGCAGCCAAUUCAGAAUUCUAAAAAAGCAAAAUUAGAAGUAUCAAAGUGUCUACAGAAUAUUUCAUCUCAAAGUCAGGAUGUUGGAAUAGCUGAAACAAAUUCACUGGACACAGGAAUGAAACAAAAAAAUUUAUCAGUAAAAAAGAAAAAUUGUCCUACAACUUUUGAACAGGCAGCUCGGAUAGCUUCCACACUAAAGAGACACCACUCAGAAAUCCAAGAAAAGAAGCGCACUGCAAUUCUACUUGAUACAACUCCUCAAUUUGGUGUUAAGCGAUCCAGAAAAGAUCAUAUGCUGGCAAAAGUAAGCUCUGAAGAAGAUAUGCAAAGUAAGACACAGUCUGAGAUGGUAAAGAAAGAGCAAACAGUUGCUUACAAGUCAAAAGUGUUUUGCACUAGCAGUUCAGAUGAUGACUCAGAUACCAAUAAGAAAAAUGAUUCUCUAGUGGAAAAAAACAAAUCCAAGGAGAACCAAUCACUUACUCAGCCGUCUGUGAGUGAUUCAACCAUGAAAGCUACUGUCACACCUCACCCAGGCCUAGUCAGCUCACUUGCCAAACUUGGUACUCUGGACAGACCAAAAACUCUUCCAAAGGCUAAAACAGUUCCUAACACUAGUGUACCUGCAUCUUCAGACUUUAUUGAAAAAUUAUUUUUUAUUCAGAGAUCUCAAACUAAUGACCGUAUCCUUCAGUGUCAACCAAAGGAUACUGCUGUUGGUGGCACACAAGGUAGAGAAGAAUCGAACGUUGAGUGCAUGCCUACCUCUGAAAAUCAAAGUACAGUCCAAGUUCCCAUUAUACAGGACCCUUGUACCAGUACCCAGCAGCAGAAAGCAAAGAAGCUGGUGAUAUGUGAUAGACAGACCAAAGAAGAACUAAUGACCUUUGGGAAAACCAGUAUAAAUAAUGUUUCAGACUCAAAGGAACCUGUAACACUCACAAAAGAAAACAGUGCCUUGUCAACCCAACUAAUAGAAGGAGUGAAGCACAAAGAAGCUCAGUCUCAAGAUUGUCAGGAGAAUGAGAAGAAAGAAGAAGCUCAAAAGUAUGACAUGGCAAAAAACACAUCAGGACCUCAGCAUGAAUCGUAUGUCAAGCUGCUCCCGUCUACAAAAAAAUCUCUGAGUGAAGAAAAAGAGUAUUCCUGUGGGCAAUUUUGCAGCAGAAUCCCCUGCAGGAGAAGAAAGUAUUACAAGGACUGACUCCAACCCUGUACCAGCUGUUCCAGGCUCUGUGUGUGUUAGAGAUUCAGCUGGGCCUGUCUUUAAGGACAGCCCUAAGUAACUCCAUACGUGCUCUUGUAUGCCAACCAUCCUCUCACCUACGUCCUCAUAGUUUAGGGUGUUUGGCAGCAUGGUAUGUUGCCAAUUUAUCAGCUAGCAAUAAGGAAGAUAAAGAGAUCCUGCAGCUAGGACGGGCAUUCCUGGUUGAUCUGCUGUUUCAUCACCCUGGAACAGUUCACUUGG